GACUGCGUCGCCAAAUAGUUGUUAUAGAAUUGACAAAACAAUCCAUGAGGUUGGACUGAAUGGAAUUGUUUGUUCAAAGUACAGAAAUAAUAUAGCAUAGACCAUAGGAUUAAUUCUGGUUUAUAAUCCUGUAGCCAAACAAACUCAAACUCUACAAAAUUUUUUCCUAUAAAAUGGAAUCCACAAAUAUUGUCAUGAAGUUCCUUUUUGAACAAAGGAGGCCCUGAAAUUUUGUAACCGGUCAAUGACCAUAUUGUAACCACACAAUUACCUUGCCAUAGAAACUUGGCCCAUUAAAAGCCACCGAUUUCUCACCGGAAAUCCCAUGUUUGCGGACCGACUCAUUUGGUGCUAGUGC
rnacentral:lncRNA from 1 species